rnacentral:rRNA from 1 species
UACGUAGGGGGGCAAGCGUUGUCCGGAUUCAUUGGGCGUAAAGAGCGUGUAGGCGGCCAGGUAGGUCGGUUGUGAAAAACUGGAGGCUCAACCUUCAGAGGUCGACCGAAACCAUCUGGCUAGAGUCCGGGAGAGGAGAGUGGAAUUCCUGGUGUAGCGGUGAAAUGCGCAGAUAUCAGGAAGAACACCCGUGGCGAAAAGCGGCUCUCUAGUACGGUACUGACGCUGAGACGCGAAAGCGUGGGGAGCGAACAGG